rnacentral:rRNA from 1 species
GACGAACGCUGGCGGUGUGCUUAACACAUGCAAGUGGUGCGACGAACCAGAGCUUGCUCUGGGGCAAAGCCGCGAACGGGUGAGUAACACGUGGGUAAUCUACCCCGAUGACCGGGACAACCCGAGGAAACUCGGGCUAAUACCGGAUGUGGUACGGAGACAUAAGUCUCUUUACUAAAGGUAGCUUCGGCUUCCGCAUUGGGAGGGGCCCGCGGCCCAUUAGCUAGUUGGUGGGGUCAAGGCCUACCAAGGCAACGAUGGGUAGCUGGUCUGAGAGGACGAUCAGCCACACUGGGACUGAGACACGGCCCAGACUCCUACGGGAGGCAGCAGUGGGGAAUCUUGCGCAAUGCGCGAAAGCGUGACGCAGCAACACCGCGUGAGGGAAGACGGCCUUAGGGGUUGUAAACCUCUUUCAGAUGGGACGAAGGUGAUGCGGUGAAUAGCCGAUGUCAUUGACGGUACCGUCAGAAGAAGCUCCGGCUAACUACGUGCCAGCAG